GGUUAAGCGACUAAGCGUACACGGUGGAUGCCCUGGCAGUCAGAGGCGAUGAAGGACGUGCUAAUCUGCGAUAAGCGUCGGUAAGGUGAUAUGAACCGUUAUAACCGGCGAUUUC
rnacentral:rRNA from 2 species